UAGCUGAUAGAGAGUCAGCUCGGCAGACCAUCCUUCGGCGGCAGGUGAGAUUUCGUGAUGUGUUUUCUCUUGUAUAAUUCUUGUGAUUUAUGCUUUGUGUGACCUGUUUUUAGGCCCUCAGGAAGGAGCUGAAGAGAAGAGUUGUUGAUUUGUCAUUGCAGAAUGAGAACAUGAAGAUGGAGAAGGACUUGGCUGCGAAAGAGUACCUUUCACUUAAGGGCGCAAACGAACACCUAAAAGAGCAGAUUGCUGAGACACAGAGGUUUCAGAUGGCUGCAUCCGCAGUGAUGGAGUCACCAUCGUCCUCAACAAUCAAGCACCACCCUUUCGUAUACGGGAAAUCGCCUAUGGUCCCAUUCAUGUAUCCUUCUCGGCCUUCCCUCACUUUUGGGCAAGUGAAUCCAAACGGUGGAUCAGUGCCGCCUCAUUGCAUGCGGCCUUGCGCUUGGUCUUAUCCAUUUCAUCACCAAGUCUCAAGAUCAGCACCAUGUUUUCAUGCAUUCGGAAACGACGAUGUCGGAGACAUUGCCAGUAAGCGUCAUGUACUGAUGCAGUCUUGUAGGAGACCGUACCACAGAGAAAGAGUUCCUCUCCAUGGCAGCGAUGUGAAGGAGAACACUUCGUUAGCGACUACCGGAGAGCGGGUCCUUAGAGGCUCUUCACAUGGAGGCAAAGGUCGGCCGGAGAAACUCCAUGGUGCUUUCACUUGCCUCCCUCGUAACUUAUCGAGCAUGGUGUCGGUGAUGGCGGCAACGGAGGCAAGGAAGACGAGGAAGCAGCUGAUGAAGUCGAAGCAAUCUCAAGGAAGACCGGCAGAAACGCACGGGUAAACCAUAAACCCGGAGAUAGUGUUCAUGGAUCUCGAUCAGCUGUAGAGGAGUUAAUUUGAGGUUACCAUCUGACAAGGCAUUACAUUGAGGGAGGGAUGAUACGAACAAGGCUCAUCACCUUCCUUCAAUAUUCCAGCAUUUGAGCUUCUGCAGGGUUACCACAUCAAAUUAUAGCAGGCCGUCUUGUACUAGUGCAGAUCGAUACACAAGGGGAGAAGUUGAUGUUAUGUAUCAGUCAGUCAUCUUUAUGUGAUUGCAUCUGCAUAAAAUAUCAGAGUUCCACAAUGUUGAAGAUGCAAAUCAACAGUUUAUUGGCAUUGGACUGUUGUGGUGCUUUGCAUUGC